rnacentral:rRNA from 1 species
GAUGAACGCUGGCGGCGUGCCUAAUACAUGCAAGUCGAGCGAACAGACGAGGAGCUUGCUCCUCUGACGUUAGCGGCGGACGGGUGAGUAACACGUGGAUAACCUACCUAUAAGACUGGGAUAACUUCGGGAAACCGGAGCUAAUACCGGAUAAUAUAUUGAACCGCAUGGUGCAAUAGUGAAAGACGGUUUUGCUGUCACUUAUAGAUGGAUCCGCGCCGCAUUAGCUAGUUGGUAAGGUAACGGCUUACGAAGGCAACGAUGCGUAGCCGAACUGAGAGGGUGAUCGCCGACACUGGAAGUGAGACGCGGACCAGACGACUACGAGAGGCAGCAGUAGGGAAUCUUCCGCAAUAGGCGAAAGCCUGACAGAACAACGCCGCGUGAGAGAUGAAGGUCUUCGGAGCGUAAAACUCGGUUAUGAGGGAAGAACAGAUGUGUAAGUAACUAUGCACGUCGUGACGGUACCUAGUCAGAAAGCCACGGCUAACUACGUG